GGGUUGUGAGGUUAAGCGACUAAGCGUACACGGUGGAUGCCCUGGCAGUCAGAGGCGAUGAAGGACGUGCUAAUCUGCGAAAAGCGCCGGCGAGGUGAUAUGAACCUUUGACCCGGCGAUGUCCGAAUGGGGAAACCCAGUGCAAUUCGUUGCACUAUCGUUAACUGAAUACAUAGGUUAACGAGGCGAACCGGGGGAACUGAAACAUCUAAGUACCCCGAGGAAAAGAAAUCAACCGAGAUUCCCCCAGUAGCGGCGAGCGAACGGGGAGCAGCCCAGAGUCUGAAUCAGUUUGUGUGUUAGUGGAAGCGUCUGGAAAGUCGCACGAUACAGGGUGAAAGUCCCGUACACGAAAGCACACAUGCUGUGAACUCGAAGAGUAGGGCGGGACACGUGGUAUCCUGUCUGAAUAUGGGGGGACCAUCCUCCAAGGCUAAAUACUCCUGACUGACCGAUAGUGAACCAGUACCGUGAGGGAAAGGCGAAAAGAACCCCGGCGAGGGGAGUGAAAAAGAACCUGAAACCGUGUACGUACAAGCAGUGGGAGCACCCUUUGGGGUGUGACUGCGUACCUUUUGUAUAAUGGGUCAGCGACUUAUAUUCUGUAGCAAGGUUAACCGAAUAGGGGAGCCGAAGGGAAACCGAGUCUUAACUGGGCGUUAAGUUGCAGGGUAUAGACCCGAAACCCGGUGAUCUAGCCAUGGGCAGGUUGAAGGUUGGGUAACACUAACUGGAGGACCGAACCGACUAAUGUUGAAAAAUUAGCGGAUGACCUGUGGCUGGGGGUGAAAGGCCAAUCAAACCGGGAGAUAGCUGGUUCUCCCCGAAAGCUAUUUAGGUAGCGCCUCGUGAACUCAUCUUCGGGGGUAGAGCACUGUUUCGGCUAGGGGGUCAUCCCGACUUACCAACCCGAUGCAAACUGCGAAUACCGAAGAAUGUUAUCACGGGAGACACACGGCGGGUGCUAACGUCCGUCGUGAAGAGGGAAACAACCCAGACCGCCAGCUAAGGUCCCAAAGUCAUGGUUAAGUGGGAAACGAUGUGGGAAGGCCCAGACAGCCAGGAUGUUGGCUUAGAAGCAGCCAUCAUUUAAAGAAAGCGUAAUAGCUCACUGGUCGAGUCGGCCUGCGCGGAAGAUGUAACGGGGCUAAACCAUGCACCGAAGCUGCGGCAGCGACGCUUAGGCGUUGUUGGGUAGGGGAGCGUUCUGUAAGCCGUCGAAGGUGUGCUGUGAGGCAUGCUGGAGGUAUCAGAAGUGCGAAUGCUGACAUAAGUAACGAUAAAGCGGGUGAAAAGCCCGCUCGCCGGAAGACCAAGGGUUCCUGUCCAACGUUAAUCGGGGCAGGGUGAGUCGACCCCUAAGGCGAGGCCGAAAGGCGUAGUCGAUGGGAAACAGGUUAAUAUUCCUGUACUUGGUGUUACUGCGAAGGGGGGACGGAGAAGGCUAUGUUAGCCGGGCGACGGUUGUCCCGGUUUAAGCAUGUAGGCGGAGGUUCCAGGUAAAUCCGGUACCUUUUAACGCUGAGGUGUGAUGACGAGGCACUACGGUGCUGAAGUAACAAAUGCCCUGCUUCCAGGAAAAGCCUCUAAGCAUCAGGUAACACGAAAUCGUACCCCAAACCGACACAGGUGGUCAGGUAGAGAAUACCAAGGCGCUUGAGAGAACUCGGGUGAAGGAACUAGGCAAAAUGGUGCCGUAACUUCGGGAGAAGGCACGCUGACAUGUAGGUGAAGCCCCUGCGGGUGGAGCUGAAGUCAGUCGAAGAUACCAGCUGGCUGCAACUGUUUAUUAAAAACACAGCACUGUGCAAACACGAAAGUGGACGUAUACGGUGUGACGCCUGCCCGGUGCCGGAAGGUUAAUUGAUGGGGUUAUCCUUUGGGAGAAGCUCUUGAUCGAAGCCCCGGUAAACGGCGGCCGUAACUAUAACGGUCCUAAGGUAGCGAAAUUCCUUGUCGGGUAAGUUCCGACCUGCACGAAUGGCGUAAUGAUGGCCAGGCUGUCUCCACCCGAGACUCAGUGAAAUUGAACUCGCUGUGAAGAUGCAGUGUACCCGCGGCAAGACGGAAAGACCCCGUGAACCUUUACUAUAGCUUGACACUGAACAUUGAGCCUUGAUGUGUAGGAUAGGUGGGAGGCUUUGAAGCGUGGACGCCAGUCUGCGUGGAGCCAACCUUGAAAUACCACCCUUUAAUGUUUGAUGUUCUAACCUGGCGCCCUAAUCGGGCGUGGGGACAGUGUCUGGUGGGUAGUUUGACUGGGGCGGUCUCCUCCUAAAGAGUAACGGAGGAGCACGAAGGUUGGCUAAUCCUGGUCGGACAUCAGGAGGUUAGUGCAAUGGCAUAAGCCAGCUUGACUGCGAGCGUGACGGCGCGAGCAGGUGCGAAAGCAGGUCAUAGUGAUCCGGUGGUUCUGAAUGGAAGGGCCAUCGCUCAACGGAUAAAAGGUACUCCGGGGAUAACAGGCUGAUACCGCCCAAGAGUUCAUAUCGACGGCGGUGUUUGGCACCUCGAUGUCGGCUCAUCACAUCCUGGGGCUGAAGUAGGUCCCAAGGGUAUGGCUGUUCGCCAUUUAAAGUGGUACGCGAGCUGGGUUUAGAACGUCGUGAGACAGUUCGGUCCCUAUCUGCCGUGGGCGCUGGAGAAUUGAGGGGGGCUGCUCCUAGUACGAGAGGACCGGAGUGGACGCAUCACUGGUGUUCGGGUUGUCAUGCCAAUGGCAUUGCCCGGUAGCUACAUGCGGAAGAGAUAAGUGCUGAAAGCAUCUAAGCACGAAACUUGCCCCGAGAUGAGUUCUCCCUGAGACUUAGAGUCUCCUGAAGGAACGUUGAAGACGACGACGUUGAUAGGCCGGGUGUGUAAGCGCAGCGAUGCGUUGAGCUAACCGGUACUAAUGAACCGUGAGGCUUAACCUUACAACGCCGAAG
rnacentral:rRNA from 1 species